ensembl:lncRNA
GCAGUUCAGUGCUUGCCCAGGGUCCUCAGACUCCUUGCUGUGGUAGACAUUCCCACACAGGAUGCUAUGGUUCUUUGAGAUGAGAACACUGGGAUCAGAGAAGUGACUUGCCUAUUGUUGUGUGGAUGGUCAAUAGGAAGAUUAGCAGUCAAACUCAAGUCCAUCUGAAUCUAACCCUACAACAUUAGUUCCCAGUCAUCUUUCAUCCCUUCUAAUACAGUGGGAAAUGGCUUAGAAAACAUGUUUGAAGACAAGGGCUCAUACCUGGAAAAACAAAACUUGCCACUAGACCAUUUUCCUCCAUCUUCCUGAAAAAAGGCUUCCAAAGGCCAACCCAAGAGGAGAUUCCAGCAUCACCUCCACCACACAGGAGCUCUUGGUGAAUAGAGAAACUUUUUAAGGUCAAGCUGAAGAACUUGUGCUUACAAAUAUUUACUGUUUGUGACUCGAACCAAAGAAAUGCUUUGGGAAGGUAAUGUGGUUAGAGAAUUAAAUUACAGAAUACUGAAAAGGUCAAAUUCUUGGGGAGAGGUUUGCUAAGAUAAUUGGAUAAUGACAUUUUACAUAAAACAAGAGAAGUCUGAAGAUGAAAAGGUGUAUGUGAUAAGUUGAAUGGCUAACUGCAGAAAAUGACCCUCAUUCCUCUGUUGGUUUUGAAAGAUCACAGUUUGCUUUUCAUUUCUGAAGCACAGGAUUUCAAGGCUUUAAAUACCACAGUAUCAAAAGACCACCCACCCAUUUAUUCUGAAAAGAUGAUACCAGAGAGGGAGGGACUGGGACUGAAAUCGAUUUGUCAAGAGCCCUUUGAGAUCAAGUCUGGCUUGUUCGUUGCCCUAGGUAUUUAAUCCAAACCGGCAACAAGAUCAUCAAUUCUGUCAUACUGUUGAUGCAGAUGCUACCAGUGUGUCUCCAGGUCCAAACUUUAAGGUCGUCGUUGAGAAGGGAGGAAAGAAACCUGCAUGUGUACACUCUCUCCUUCUGAUGCUGCUAUGCAAAAUCUGGUCUUCCACCAGGAUGUUGCUUGCUGGGAGCUCAGGGUCAUUUUUAUCCUCAUAAUAAGAGUAAAUAAUGG